rnacentral:rRNA from 1 species
GAUGAACGCUGGCGGCGCGCCUAACACAUGCAAGUCGAACGGAGUUAUCUUAUUAGAUCCCUUCGGGGGUGAAAGAUUUUUUAACUUAGUGGCGAACGGGUGAGUAACGCGUGAGUAACCUGCCUUCAAGAGGGGGGACAACAGUUGGAAACGACUGCUAAUACCGCAUAAUGCAGUUUAAUCGCAUGGUUUUACUGUCAAAGGAGCAAUCCGCUUGAAGAUGGCCUCGCGUCUGAUUAGAUAGUUGGUGGGGUAACGGCCUACCAAGUCAACGAUCAGUAGCCGGUCUGAGAGGAUGAACGGCCACAUUGGGACUGAGAUACGGCCCAGACUCCUACGGGAGGCAGCAGUGGGGAAUAUUGGGCAAUGGGGGAAACCCUGACCCAGCAACGCCGCGUGAAGGAAGAAGGCCCUCGGGUUGUAAACUUCUUUUAGCAGGGACGAAGAACGUGACGGUACCUGCAGAAAAAGCAACGGCUAACUACGUG